rfam:Zootermopsis nevadensis contig25056, whole genome shotgun sequence.
GCGACGGUGGUCUAGCGGUUAGAACGCUGGCUUUGUAAUCCUGGGGUCUCGGGUUCGAUUCCCGGCGGUCCCC